GACGAACGCUGGCGGCGUGCCUAAUACAUGCAAGUUGAGCGCUGAAGGUUGGUACUUGUACCAACUGGAUGAGCAGCGAACGGGUGAGUAACGCGUGGGGAAUCUGCCUUUGAGCGGGGACAACAUUUGGAAACGAAUGCUAAUACCGCAUAAAAACUUUAAACACAAGUUUUAAGUUUGAAAGAUGCAAUUGCAUCACUCAAAGAUGAUCCCGCGUUGUAUUAGCUAGUUGGUGAGGUAAAGGCUCACCAAGGCGAUGAUACAUAGCCGACCUGAGAGGGUGAUCGGCCACAUUGGGACUGAGACACGGCCCAAACUCCUACGGGAGGCAGCAGUAGGGCAUCUUCGGCAAUGGACGAAAGUCUGACCGAGCAACGCCGCGUGAGUGAAGAAGGUUUUCGGAUCGUAAAACUCUGUUGGUAGAGAAGAACGUUGGUGAGAGUGGAAAGCUCAUCAAGUGACGGUAACUACCCAGAAAGGGACGGCUAACUACGUG
rnacentral:rRNA from 1 species